UACGGAGGGGGCUAGCGUUGUUCGGAAUUACUGGGCGUAAAGGGCGCGUAGGCGGAUAGUUUAGUUGGGGGUGAAAGCCCGGGGCUCAACCUCGGAAUUGCCUUCAAUACUGGCUAUCUUGAGUGUGAGAGAGGUGUGUGGAACUCCGAGUGUAGAGGUGAAAUUCGUAGAUAUUCGCAAGAACACCAGUGGCGAAGGCGGCUCACUGGCCCGGUACUGACGCUGAGGUGCGAAAGCGUGGGGAGCAAACAGG
rnacentral:rRNA from 1 species